UCCUGAAUGUUGCAGGUGGGGCCUGGUGA
rnacentral:piRNA from 1 species